rnacentral:rRNA from 1 species
AGUUUGAUCCUGGCUCAGGAUGAACGCUAGCUACAGGCUUAACACAUGCAAGUCGAGGGGCAGCAUGGUCUUAGCUUGCUAAGACUGAUGGCGACCGGCGCACGGGUGAGUAACACGUAUCCAACCUGCCGUCUACUCUUGGACAGCCUUCUGAAAGGAAGAUUAAUACAAGAUGGCAUCAUGAGUCCGCAUGUUCACAUGAUUAAAGGUAUUCCGGUAGACGAUGGGGAUGCGUUCCAUUAGAUAGUAGGCGGGGUAACGGCCCACCUAGUCUUCGAUGGAUAGGGGUUCUGAGAGGAAGGUCCCCCACAUUGGAACUGAGACACGGUCCAAACUCCUACGGGAGGCAGCAGUGAGGAAUAUUGGUCAAUGGGCGAGAGCCUGAACCAGCCAAGUAGCGUGAAGGAUGACUGCCCUAUGGGUUGUAAACUUCUUUUAUAAAGGAAUAAAGUCGGGUAUGUAUACCCGUUUGCAUGUACUUUAUGAAUAAGGAUCGGCUAACUCCGUGCCAGCAGCCGCGGUAAUACGGAGGAUCCGAGCGUUAUCCGGAUUUAUUGGGUUUAAAGGGAGCGUAGAUGGAUGUUUAAGUCAGUUGUGAAAGUUUGCGGCUCAACCGUAAAAUUGCAGUUGAUACUGGAUAUCUUGAGUGCAGUUGAGGCAGGCGGAAUUCGUGGUGUAGCGGUGAAAUGCUUAGAUAUCACGAGGAACUCCGAUUGCGAAGGCAGCCUGCUAAGCUGCAACUGACAUUGAGGCUCGAAAGUGUGGGUAUCAAACAGGAUUAGAUACCCUGGUAGUCCACACGGUAAACGAUGAAUACUCGCUGUUUGCGAUAUACUGCAAGCGGCCAAGCGAAAGCGUUAAGUAUUCCACCUGGGGAGUACGCCGGCAACGGUGAAACUCAAAGGAAUUGACGGGGGCCCGCACAAGCGGAGGAACAUGUGGUUUAAUUCGAUGAUACGCGAGGAACCUUACCCGGGCUUAAAUUGCAGAUGAAUUACGGUGAAAGCCGUAAGCCGCAAGGCAUCUGUGAAGGUGCUGCAUGGUUGUCGUCAGCUCGUGCCGUGAGGUGUCGGCUUAAGUGCCAUAACGAGCGCAACCCUUGUUGUCAGUUACUAACAGGUUCCGCUGAGGACUCUGACAAGACUGCCAUCGUAAGAUGUGAGGAAGGUGG